UACGUAGGGGGCUAGCGUUGUUCGGAAUUACUGGGCGUAAGGGCGCGCAGGCGGCGUGCUCAAGUCAGGCGUGAAAGGCCUGGGCUCAACCCGGGAAUUGCGCUUGAGACUGGGCUGGCUUGAGUGCGGGAGAGGAUGGUGGAAUUCCUGGUGUAGCGGUGAAAUGCGCAGAUAUCAGGAGGAACACCAAUUGCGAAGGCAGCUCGCUGGGACGUAACUGACGCUGAGACGCGAAAGCGUGGGGAGCAAACAGG
rnacentral:rRNA from 1 species